rnacentral:lncRNA from 1 species
ACUCUUCCUCUCCCUCACUGAUCCUCCCGUAGCAGCAGCACGACCAGAGAAGGUCGUCUUCCCCAACUCCGGCAACCACGGCCGCGGCCACUGCCGCGUUGGUUCCGACGCCAUUAGGGCCUCCCCCUCUCCACUCUCUUCACCAGAAACUUUCCCUUAAUCUCAUGAAUCCGUCCCCGUUCUCGAUUUUGAUCAGGAGCCACCGUAGGCGAAAGCCCCAUCCCACCCGACGCCACCGUCCGCCGGAGAGCUCGCCGCCGGCGACUCCUUCCACUCCGGCGACCAAGGAUCGUACCCACGGGUUCGCCUCGACCUCCUGAGCACACCCAUGUGCUCAGAUCCCCGAGGGGUGCCGCCGUUCGCCGGCGAGCAUCACCGGAGCGCCGCCUCUGUUCGGCCGGAGGAGACGGCUCGCGCGGCGACCAGUCAAACCUGACCGGUGGGACAUAAGGGCCCACGGUCAGUGAACCGUAACCCCGCCGCCUGGAUAAGUGGAGACGGGCUCAACUAAACUCGCUUCCACUCGGGGAAAACAAAUUACUGUAAUACGUCUUCGACGUUGCUGCCCUCCCACGCGGCCACCGAUUGGGCUCGGCCCAGUAGUGCAAGACGACUAAGUCCCGCCCACGCCGCGUUUCUGCUCAGCCUAUCACAGUAAUCUCUGUUUCUUUUCUCGUUUCCAGCAGAUUCCAAAUAAAUCCACAGCAGCAAUUUCACAUCCAGAUUCGACGAUUCAAAUUUAUACCUACUCCUAAAAUCAUUCUCUAUUUAUCCAGAUAGGGUAAACAUUUUUCCUAAGCCUGGCUUUUGCUGGAUCUAAUAAAUAGUGCAUUUCCUUGAUUAUUCCAGCUUAGUAAAUCCAUAGGAAAAUCAUAUUAACUCCAGCUGACUUGUUUCUUUUUCUGUUAUUUCUAAAAUUUCAUGUAGUUUAUUUUAGUAUUUAUUUCACAAAUUUACAAACAACUUUUAUGUACUGUUUUGGAAUUGUGUGGUAAUUGAAAUAUUUUGAAAAUAGGAAAUGGAGGGGAGAUAUAAUUUUUCAAAGUUUAGGAAUGCAUCCAACAUUUCUGCAUGCUCAAGGCAAGCAUCUUGAACACAUGAUAUGGUGAAUGCAUAGUUGUUUGCUUGCAUGUAGAAUUGAGUUAUGACUAUGUUGAAUUCAUAUAGAAUUUUCAUGGUACUAGUCAUGCAUGCAUGAUCCCCCUUGAUGGUGUUUUAUCUUCACUUAAACAUGAAGUAUAAGUGAGUAUGGUUACUUUCAUGUGCCAUAUGUGCCUGUGUUGGUCCAGACUAAUUUGCAGGAGGAAUCAGUCACGAGAAACGUGACCGUGAGACUGAAAUCUCGUUGUGACGAGAAUGAUCAGUGAGGGUAUGUUGGGGCAUACCAGGUGGUGACCCUGUUGGGUACUACCAAGGAGUUAUAUUGCGCUAACCAUUGCAGGAAAACUUAAACCUCCUGAGUUGACCAUAGAUCGAGUCUUGUUCCGGUAACCCCCAUACUUGAAUCGUGCUACCACAUGUCCCUGCCACAGGUAGGGUACGGUUCCGUAAGUUGUUAACCCCUUUCCCUGCACACACCGUACAGAGAGGCCACGAUGAGGGUUUCCAGGUACCGGCUGCAAUGCCAGUCAUCGGGCCGGGGAGCAUGGGUGUAUCCGGCUGGGCCGAGAGGGGGGCACCCCUUGUAAUCCGCACGUGUCAAUAGUGAUCCCAUGCUACUCGAGACGAUGGUCUCCCCGCCUUAGAGUUUCUCUUGAACGAUGCUUUGGGUGAUUCCUGGCAUCCGGACAGUUAAUCUGGUGUGUGCUGGUCAGGUGUGUUUUCAACCCAAAGGCCGUAACGGGAAUUAGUCAGCGUCUCGGUGUUGGCUAAAGAAAUCCUUUACUUGUGGUAAAGAGUACACCCUCUGCAGAGUUAUAUCUAUUCGAAUAGCUGUGUCCAUGGUUAAGGGCUACAGUCUAGGUUGGUCAAGUGUCGGUCUUAGUGUCAGUCUUCGGAGGAAAUAAUUAAAGUGAUCAUGGUUCCUUUUGCAGGAUACUGAUUGUCACUACUGGUGCUAUUAUGAAUAUUAUUGUUGAUAUGAAUAAUAUUGCGGACUAACCUUUCCCUCUUAUGUGCAACCUUGAGUAUCUCUUGGGAUGGCUAGACUACCCGGGAUACUCGUUUUCUUUUCGUUUCUUUUAUGAGUAUCAUUUGGGAUGGCUAGUCAACCUGGAUAGUUGUGUUAUUAUUUUCUUAUAAGCCCUUUAUGAGGCGUUGCUUUAGACACCUGACUGUGGCAUGUAUUUUCAAGACCUCUUGAGGGCGUCGCAUGAGUUCUCGGGCGGUCCUGUCUCGCCCGAUUCUCUUUUAGACACCCGUUUGGCAUUUCUUUUGGAAUUUCUCGGGCGGUCCAACGCCCGACGUUCCGUUUCAUUUCUUUGAUUUAUUAAUAACAUGACUUAUUUAUCCUUCCGCACCGUAUGAAUAUUUGUCAUGCCAUGCUUUAAUUCUCAUUCAGCACAUGCAUAUAUAUAUAUAUAUUAAUUCAUCAUGAGCAUAUGCAUCCGGUAUGUCUUUUGUUCUUGAUAUUUGCGAGUACAUUCAAACGUACUCACUGGCUUGUCCCUAGCUAUUGUCUUGGCCAGAUCAUGACUCAGAGGAGAGCACUACGAAGACACCCCCGCAACCUAGGAUUCGGAGAUAGCAGCCACGCGAGAUAGGAGUUAUCCAAGUCAGUUGUUCUCGUGGGAAUGGAGUUCCAUCAAUCUGGGAGAUCCACGAGUCGCUUCCAUCAUCUGCCACUAGAAAUCAUUGUUGUACUCAAUGGACCUAUAAUGUCUUGUACUCAAAUCCUUGUAAUUGCUUGGAAUUCUGUAUUAAGGAAAUGUCCACCAGCAACAGUAAUCCUGGGGCUGGUGAUGACACAAGGGUCGUUUACUGGGAUUUAUGUCCCGGAAAUCAAGGCCCCAACAAAUCACCUUCGAAGCAAUCUUAUACAAGACAUUACACAGGCUGAUUGGACGGAAUUGAGAC